rnacentral:rRNA from 1 species
GACGAACGCUGGCGGCGUGCUUAACACAUGCAAGUCGAACGGUAAGGCCCUUCGGGGUACACGAGUGGCGAACGGGUGAGUAACACGUGGGUGAUCUGCCCUGCACUUCGGGAUAAGCCUGGGAAACUGGGUCUAAUACCGGAUAGGACCACUGCCUGCAUGGGUGGUGGUGGAAAGCUUUUGCGGUGUGGGAUGGGCCCGCGGCCUAUCAGCUUGUUGGGGGGGUGAUGGCCUACCAAGGCGACGACGGGUAGCCGGCCUGAGAGGGUGACCGGACACACUGGGACUGAGAUACGGCCCAGACUCCUACGGGAGGCAGCAGUGGGGAAUAUUGCACAAUGGGCGCAAGCCUGAUGCAGCGACGCCGCGUGAGGGAUGACGGCCUUCGGGUUGAAAACCUCUUUCAGCACCGACGAAGCGCAAGUGACGGAAGGUGCAGAAGAAGGACCGGCCAACUACGUGCCAGCCGCCGCAGUAA